rnacentral:rRNA from 1 species
ACGGGUGGAGUAACGCGUGGGUAACCUGCCUUAUACUGGGGGAUAACAGCCAGAAAUGACUGCUAAUACCGCAUAAGCGCACAGAACCGCAUGGUCCGGUGUGAAAAACUCCGGUGGUAUAAGAUGGACCCGCGUUGGAUUAGCUAGUUGGCAGGGCAGCGGCCUACCAAGGCAACGAUCAGUAGCCGGUCUGAGAGGAUGAACGGCCACAUUGGAACUGAGACACGGUCCAAACUCCUACGGGAGGCAGCAUG